GGGAGAUUCUGUUACAGUGAGAUGAUGAGGAACCGGAAGGGAGCCAGAAGGCCCAGCAGGAGCACCAUGCGCCUGGCUCUGAGUGUGAGGAAAGCAGAGGUCAGACUCGCGCUGGGCAGGGACUCCUGAGGCUUCUGGGAGCACGCCCUGCUUAAGCGGAUGCCUGAGUGACAGGGCACUUCCCUGUGGCCCCGAGCUCUAGAGGACAAGGCCAAGGACACACGCAAACCCAGAUCACACGGAAUGGCUCCUCCCAGCAACGCGAGCCUGGGGAGAGACGGCAGCCCUUCCGGACUGCGGGCAGGAAACGCUGAUCCGGGCUACACCAUGGGUGUCCACGCUGCUCAGUGGAGGAAAUCGGACGCAAGAGACCACAGACUCUGUGAGCCCACUGACCCAAAACGUCCCGCGUCGCCGGAUCCACAGACAGAAACUGGUUCUGAACACAGCACAGGGAAAGGGCUGUAUCGUCCCAUUCACACCAAGGGUCCACUCGUGCCUGGAGACGCGUUGGAGGCCCGGCCUGUUGGGAAACGGCUUGGUGUGUGAGACUCAUGGAGAGGACCAGGAACAGGGCCCUGCAAGGGUCGAGGGCUGAGGCCCUGCAUGCCCACCUCGGCCCCCAGGGCAGACAUACUCGUGCGGCCUGUGCCCCUGACCUGGGGCAGGAGGAGAGACACGGGAGGGUCCCGGACACGAGCGCGGGGCCCCGGAGCGGCUGACGCUCUGCUUGCCACACGCCUCCACCUCCCAAUUCCUCCGCCCUUUGCCCUUCACCCCCUUCCCCCCAUCCUUCUUCCUCCCGCAGCUGCGACACUGCCCCCGCCAGCCCCUCACCCCCUCCCUUUCUCCUGCCUUCUCCCCAUUUCCUGAUCCAGAGCACCGUCCAUCCUCCUCAGGCUCACUCCGUCCUCCCCACUCCCUCCUCCCCCCAGCGCUCCUACUUCCUGCUGCCCCCUACUCCGUCAUCCCGCAUCACCCCACACCCCUCUUCCUGCGGUAUCCACCCCCUCCGGCUCCAACUGCCCGCCUGCCUCCUCUCCCUCCAGCAUCCUCUCUCCUGCCUCCUCUGGGCCAGGAGUCUAAGCUCUGACCUUGGGCUCCUUUCAAGGACAUGGGCACCUCUGGCAGCAGCCCUCCCCCCAUGGACUGCUGAGGGGGCUGGAUGCGCCUGGCCCAUGGUUGGCGCUAGGGGUCAGUGUCGGCUGGAGCCUAGGGGCGUGAAGUUACCUCCCGUGGCCUCUGCCCCAGCGUGGCCGCAAGGCUCGAGGGCGGCGAUGGUCCUCACCUUUCUGACCUCGAGCUGGUGCGCCACGGUUACCGAGUAUGGCCACUGCGUCUCACAGCAUCACUGGGUGCCCUUUCCACUUAGCGGUCUCCAAAAUCUUCCUCAUACCCUCCCAGGCUGUCUUUGUUAAAGGCUGUGUCAUGUGCAUUCAGUGGGUCCGUCAUGAUCGCUAGGGCUCCUUAGUGACAGGCACCCCUGUUCUGGUGUGACGAUGCAUAUGGGGGCACGGGGGCUCCAAGCACUUACUCCUCCCGCCUCGGAGGAUGCGGUCUGCCUCCUCUGUGCUCUGAGCUUCAGCAGCGUGUUUGUGGUACCCAGAGACCCCCGGCCAGAACCCUCCAUGGUUCCUUGACCCGCAGACCUUCCCUUGUGGUGAGAAGUGCACGGUGACUCUGCUCUGCUCAAUCUGCGCGUCUCUUAGUGAGAUGAACAAGCGUAUUCUAUCAGCCCCCUUUUUAUUGUGAACUACCUGUUCGUGUCAUUUCCCAUCCUUUUGCCCUCUAAGAAAUUGAUCCGUAGGAACUCCUCACCCAUUAAGGACAUUAGAACUGGAAAUAUCUUCCCACAGUUUCAUAUCUUCUUCUAAGUUUGAUUUGGGUUUUCCUCCCCAAGCAAAUACUUGAUUCUCGUGUGGUUGAAUCUGUUGUAAGCAGCAUGGAGG
ensembl:lncRNA